rnacentral:snRNA from 1 species
AGAGAAGAUUAGCAUGGCCCUUGCACAAGGAUGACAUGCAAAUUCAUGUAGUGUUCCAUCUUUUU